AGUACAUAUACAACUGCCUCCAAUGACAGUUGAAUGUAAAUAAAAUAUAAAUAAAGAUCUUCGGGAACUUUUUCCCGAAUAUUUUAAUUAUUUUAUUUGUUAUCAUCAAAAAACCAAACAGCGGUCCGGAGCCGAGGAAUCCGUUCGGGAACUUAAGAAUCGUCUUCCUUUUUCUGGUUUGCUUUUCCUCGAUGCGAUUCUCCUCUCCUUUCGGCUCGGAACAGCCUCCGUCGUCUGGGCAGCAAAGCAGCAUAGUCGUGUUUGCAGACAAAAAUAUUAGUGAAGCGAUCCUGACAAAGGUUUGCGACGCACCUCUUCUUUCGGCUCGGAUCAAGUUUCGUUGUCUGGCCACUUCCAAGGAAAUGAAGCGAAGUAUGAUGAAAAUUGAGAAAUGGUCUAGUAUGUGCUGUUGCAGAAACAAAUGCAUCCGGAAGAGUAGUUUGAAAUUUCGGUCCGGAAAUGUACUUCCUCGUCCGAUACUGGAAAAUGCUUUGCAAUUUUCAGAAAGCAUCCGCGACGACCAUCCAUCCGGUGCGGCCAUUUGCUUCCGGUCCAUUAGCAGGACAAGUUCCAAGCACUUGAGGAGCAACAAUAUGUACAAAACUAAAUAAAAAUCAAUUUAAAAUUGA